rnacentral:rRNA from 1 species
CAGUAGCCGCGGGAAUACGAAGGGGGCUAGCGUUGCUCGGAAUGACUGGGCGUAAAGGGCGCGUAGGCGGAUUGUUUAGUUAGGCGUGAAAUUCCUGGGCUUAACCUGGGGACUGCGCUUAAUACAGGCAGUCUAGAGUGAGGGAGAGGUGAGUGGAAUUCCGAGUGUAGAGGUGAAAUUCGUAGAUAUUCGGAAGAACACCAGUGGCGAAGGCGGCUCACUGGACUGGUAUUGACGCUGAGGUGCGAAAGCGUGGGGAGCAAACAGGAUUAGAGACCCCGGUAGUCCCUGUCUCUUAUAC